GUAGGUGGCAAGCGUUGUCCGGAAUUAUUGGGCGUAAAGCGCGCGCAGGCGGUUCUUUAAGUCUGAUGUGAAAGCCCACGGCUCAACCGUGGAGGGUCAUUGGAAACUGGAGAACUUGAGUACAGAAGAGGAAAGCGGAAUUCCACGUGUAGCGGUGAAAUGCGUAGAGAUGUGGAGGAACACCAGUGGCGAAGGCGGCUUUUCUGGUCUGUAACUGACGCUGAGGCGCGAAAGCGUGGGGAGCAAACAGGGAUUAGAUACCCUGGUAGUCCACGCCGUAAACGAUGAGUGCUAAGUGUUAGGGGGUUUCCGCCCCCUUAGUGCUGCAGCUAACGCAUUAAGCACUCGCCUGGGGAUACGGCCGCAAGGCUG
rnacentral:rRNA from 1 species